rnacentral:rRNA from 1 species
GAUGAACGCUGGCGGCGUGCCUAAUACAUGCAAGUCGAGCGAAUGGAUUAAGAGCUUGCUCUUAUGAAGUUAGCGGCGUACGGGUGAGUAACACGUGGGUAACUUGCCCAUAAGACUGGGAUAACUCCGGGAAACCGGGGCUAGUACCGGAUAACAUUUUGAACCGCAUGGUUCGAAAUUGAAAGGCGGCUUCGGCUGUCACUUAUGGAUGGACCCGAGUCGCAUGAGCAAUUUGGUGAGGUAACGGCUCACCAAGGCAACGAUGUGUAGCCGGCAUGAGAGGGUGAUCGGCCACACUGCGACUGAGACACGGCCAAGACUCCGACGGGAGGCAGCAGGAGGGAAUCUUCCGCAAUGGACGAGAGUCUGACGGAUCAACGCCGCGUGAGUGAUGAAGGCUUUCGGGUCGUAAAACUCUGUUGUUAGGGAAGAACAAGUGCUAGUUGAAUAAGCUGGCACCUUGACGGUACCUAACCAGAAAGCCACGGCUAACUACGUGCCAGCAGCCGCAGUAA